UUGGAGGGCAAGUCUGGUGCCAGCAGUGAGGUAAUUCCAGCUCCAAUAGCGUAUAUUAAAGUUGUUGCAGUUAAAAAGCUCGUAGUUGAAUUUCGGGAUUCAUCCGUUGGUCGGGCUCCACGGUCCGUACUGGUGUGAUGGGUUCCUACCUUCUGAAUAACCGGCAUGCCAUUAAUUUGGUGCGCCGGGGAAGCAGAACUAUUACCUUGAAAAAAUUAGAGUGCUUAAAGCAGGCAAGUGCCUGAAUAGGUUAGCAUGGAAUAAUAAAAUAGGACGGCAUGGUUCUAUUUUGUUGGUUUCUAGGAUCACCGCAAUGAUUAAUAGGGAUAGUUGGGGGCAUUAGUAUUCAAUUGUCAGAGGUGAAAUUCUUGGAUUUAUUGAAGACUAUCUUCUGCGAAAGCAUUUGCCAAGGAUGUUUUCAUUAAUCAAGAACGAAAGUUAGGGGAUCGAAGACGAUCAGAUACCGUCGUAGUCUUAACCAUAAACUAUGCCGACUAGGGAUCGGACGAUGUUAAUUUUUUAAUGACUCGUUCGGCGCCUUACGGGAAAC
rnacentral:rRNA from 1 species